GAUAGCUCAGUCGGUAGAGCACCUGACUGUUAAUCAGGGAGUCGCAGGUUCGAGUCCUGCUC
rnacentral:tRNA from 1 species